rnacentral:rRNA from 1 species
GACAGAGGGUGCAAACGUUGUUCGGAAUCACUGGGCUUAAAGGGCGCGUAGGCGGGUGCUCAAGUCUGUGGUGAAAUCCUCCGGCUCAACCGGAGAACGGCCAUGGAUACUGGGUGUCUCGAGGGUGAUAGGGGUAUGCGGAACUAUCGGUGGAGCGGUGAAAUGCGUUGAUAUCGAUAGGAACUCCGGUGGCGAAGGCGGCAUACUGGAUCACUUCUGACGCUGAGGCGCGAAAGCCAGGGGAGCGAACGGG